rnacentral:rRNA from 1 species
UACGGAGGUGCAAGCGUUGUUCGGAUUUAUUGGUGCGUAAAGCGCGUGUAGGCGGUCUUCAAGUCUGAUGUCGAAAGCCCUGGGCUCAACCCAGGAAGUGCAUUGGAUACUGGAAGACUUGAAUGACGGGAGAGGGUAGUGGAAUUCCAUAGUGUAAGGAUGAAUCCGUAGAUAUUAGGAGGAACACCGGUGGCGAAGCGGCUACCUGGACCGAUGAUUGACGCUGAGACGACGAAAGCGUGGGGAGCAAACAGG